rnacentral:rRNA from 2 species
UCUUGUGCAAUAAACGAAAGUAUGACACAGAGAGGACACAUUUAAUUGAGCCCGUCAAAUUAAGUGCCAGCCGACGCGGUUAAACUUAAGGGCUGGUCUUUAUAAGUAAAAAGGCGUAAAGGAUGUGUAGGCCAAGAAACGAUCCAAGUAGGUAAAUGGAAUUUUUCUGGAGCGGUAGAAUGUGAGGAUAGAAAAUAGAACCCCUAAGGUAAAAACUAUUUACUACAAGGUAGGCUGAAACAUGAGAGUGUGGGGAGCAAACAGGAUUAGAGACCCUGGUAGUCCACACUGUGAACUUUGAAGAUGAUGCUUAGCAGACCCGAAAGGUAAAAUCUUCCGCCUGAGUAGUACGAUCGCAAGAUUAAAAUUCAAAAACUUUGGCUGUUCACUAUUUCGAUUAGAGGAGCGUGUAGUUUAAUUCGAUGGUCCGCGUGUUACCUUACCCCAACUUGAAUCUGUGACCGGUAUUGCAUGGCCGUCGUAAGUUCGUGUAUUAAGCUAGAAGGGACCCAACCCGGGCAUUUGCCCGGAGGAAGUCAGGUCUUAUGAUCCGAAUGUUGGGGGAUUUUAUGCGCUACAUUUUCUUAUAUAAUGAGAAACCUGGAAGGUGAAUCUCUAAAGUAAGAGUUCGGAAGGUCGCUGUAAGACGACUGGAAGUUGGAUUUAAUAGUAAUCGGAAAGUAGGGCGUUCCGGUGAAUUGGUACAAGUGUUAGCACAAAUUGCCCGUCACCUUUACUUAGAAUGGUUAUUCGG